AUGCUCACUUCAGCAGUAUGUAUGCUAAAAUUCGAAUGAUACAGAGAAAAUCAGCAUGACCCCUUCUCAAGGAUGACACUAUAAUUUGUGAAGUGUUCCGUAUUUAA